GAAUUUUUCUCAAUGGGCGCAAGCCUGAAGGAGCGACGCCGCGUGGGGGAUGAAGGGCUUCGGCCUGUAAACCCCUGUCAUCUGCGAACAAACCCUCUCUUUGAACAGAGGAGAGGCCGAUAGUAGCGUAAGAGGAAGGGACGGCUAACUCUGUGCCAGCAGCCGCGGUAAGACAGAGGGCCCGAGCGUUGUUCGGAGUCACUGGGCGUAAAGGGUGCGUAGGCGGUGAGGCAAGUCUGAUGUGAAAGCUUCGAGCUCAACUCGGAAAUGGCAUUGGAAACUGCCUUGCUGGAGGCUUAGAGGGGGGACUGGAAUACUUGGUGUAGCAGUGAAAUGCGUAGAGAUCAAGUGGAACACCCGUGGCGAAGGCGAGUCCCUGGACAAGACCUGACGCUGAGGCACGAAAGCCAGGGGAGCAAACAGG
rnacentral:rRNA from 1 species